rnacentral:rRNA from 1 species
GAUGAACGCUAGCGGCAGGCUUAAUACAUGCAAGUCGUGGGGCAGCAGGACGGUAGCAAUACCGUUGCUGGCGACCGGCAAACGGGUGCGGAACACGUACACAACCUUCCUUUAAGUGGGGAAUAGCCCAGAGAAAUUUGGAUUAAUACCCCGUAACAUGGUGAAAAGGCAUCUUUUUAUCAUUAUAGCAGCAAUGCGCUUAAUGAUGGGUGUGCGGCUGAUUAGGUAGUUGGCGGGGUAACGGCCCACCAAGCCUUCGAUCAGUAACUGGUGUGAGAGCACGACCAGUCACACGGGCACUGAGACACGGGCCCGACUCCUACGGGAGGCAGCAGUAAGGAAUAUUGGGCAAUGGAGGCAACUCUGACCAGCCAUGCCGCGUGGAGGAUGAAGGUCCUCUGGAUUGUAAACUUCUUUUAUAUGGGACGAAAAAAGGGUUUUCUAACUCGGCUGACGGUACCAUAUGAAUAAGCACCGACUAACUCCGUGCCAGCCGCCGCUGUAAUAC